UACUGUGAAACUGCGAAAUGGGCUCAUUAAAUCAGUUAUCGUUUAUUUGAUAGUACCUUACUACUUGGAUAACCGUGGUAAUUCUAGAGCUAAUACAUGCUAAAAACCCCGACUUCGGAAGGGGUGUAUUUAUUAGAUAAAAAACCAAUGCCCUUCGGGGCUCCUUGGUGAAUCAUGAUAACUUAACGAAUCGCAUGGCCUUGCGCCGGCGAUGGUUCAUUCAAAUUUCUGCCCUAUCAACUUUCGAUUGUAGGAUAGUGGCCUACAAUGGUUUCAACGGGUAACGGGGAAUUAGGGUUCUAUUCCGGAGAGGGAGCCUGAGAAACGGCUACCACAUCCAAGGAAGGCAGCAGGCGCGCAAAUUACCCAAUCCCGAUACGGGGAGGGAGUGACAAUAAAUACUGAUACAGGGCUCUUUUGGGUCUUGUAAUUGGAAUGAGUACAAUUUAAAUACCUUAACGAGGAACAAUUGGAGGGCAAGUCUGGUGCCAGCAGCCGCGGUAAUUCCAGCUCCAAUAGCGUAUAUUAAAGUUGUUGCAGUUAAAAAGCUCCUAGUUGAGCCUUGGGCCUGGGUGGCCGGUCUGCCUCACCGCAUGUACUGGUUC
rnacentral:rRNA from 1 species